GGAUACUAGCUAGUGAUGUUAUAAUGUCACAAUUUAUUAUAUAGAUAAUCUGCUCUAUAAGGUUUUAAAUAGGUUAUGCUAGCUAACGUUAUCUAUGUAGACUAAGUUAGCUAGCUACUUAUUUUGAAAAUAUGAUUGUAUUAAAUUAAUGCACAAUUAAUUCUGAGAAUAUCUUUGUAGAUUACAAUUUGAAUGGUUUGGCAUUAUAAUAAGUAGCGUGAAAAUAUAGUUAGAAAUGUUCAUGGAUAACAUUAUCAGUGGAGAGGAAGGAGAGGAGGAAGACUGGAUAGGAAGAAGAGUGAAGGAAACAGAGGAGGAAAGGUAAAGAGGUGAGGAGGAAGACUGGAUAGGAAGAAGAGUGAAGGAAACAGAGGAGGAAAGGUAAAGAGGUGAGGAGGAAGACUGGAUAGGAAGAAGAUUGAAGGAAACAGAGGAGGAAAGGUAAAGAGGUGAGGAGGAAGACUGGAUAGGAAGAAGAGUGAAGGAGACAGAGGAGGAAAGGUAAAGAGGAGAGGAGGAAGACUGGAUAGGAAGAAGAGUGAAGGAGACAGAGGAGGAAAGGUAAAGAGGAGAGGAGGAAGACUGGAUAGGAAGAAGAGUGAAGGAGACAGAGGAGGAAAGGUAAAGAGGAGAGGAGGAAGACUGGAUAGGAAGAAGAGUGAAGGAGACAGAGGAGGAAAGGUAAAGAGGAGAGGAGGAAGACUGGAUAGGAAGAAGAGUGAAGGAGACAGAGGAGGAAAGGUAAAGAGGAGAGGAGGAAGACUGGAUAGGAAGAAGAGUGAAGGAGACAGAGGAGGAAAGGUAAAGAGGAGAGGAGGAAGACUGGAUAGGAAGAAGAGUGAAGGAGACAGAGGAGGAAAGGUAAAGAGGAGAGGAGGAAGACUGGAUAGGAAGAAGAGUGAAGGAGACAGAGGAGGAAAGGUAAAGAGGAGAGGAGGAAGACUGGAUAGGAAGAAGAGUGAAGGAGACAGAGGAGGAAAGGUAAAGAGGAGAGGAGGAAGACUGGAUAGGAAGAAGAGUGAAGGAAACAGAGGAGGAAAGGUAAAGAGGUGAGGAGGAAGACUGGAUAGAAAGAAGAGUGACGGAGACAGAGGAGGAAAGGUAAAGAGGAGAGGAGGAAGACUGGAUAGGAAGAAGAGUGAAGGAGACAGAGGAGGAAAGGUAAAGAGGAGAGGAGGAAGACUGGAUAGGAAGAAGAGUGGCGGAGACAGAGGAGGAAAGGUAAAGAGGUGAGGAGGAAGACUGGAUAGGAAGAAGAGUGAAGGAGACAGAGGAGGAAAGGUAAAGAGGAGAGGAGGAAGACUGGAUAGGAAGAAGAGUGAAGGAGACAGAGGAGGAAAGGUAAAGAGGAGAGGAGGAAGACUGGAUAGGAAGAAGAGUGAAGGAGACAGAGGAGGAAAGGUAAAGAGGAGAGGAGGAAGACUGGAUAGGAAGAAGAGUGAAGGAAACAGAGGAGGAAAGGUAAAGAGGUGAGGAGGAAGACUGGAUAGGAAGAAGAGUGAAGGAGACAGAGGAGGAAAGGUAAAGAGGUGAGGAGGAAGACUGGAUAGAAAGAAGAGUGACGGAGACAGAGGAGGAAAGGUAAAGAGGAGAGGAGGAAGACUGGAUAGGAAGAAGAGUGAAGGAGACAGAGGAGGAAAGGUAAAGAGGUGAUUACAGAGCCUGUCAAUGUAUUAUUCCAAACAAUGUUUUUGAGAUAAAAUACAGAAAUGGGGCAAGCAAUGGGAAUCUGUUAACCAAAGUAUUUGAUCUAAUAGUGUAUUAUUUAUUAUUACAGAUUGGAGAGGAAGGAGAAGGAAACAUUAAGGGAGUAAAAAGAGUGAAGCAAGGAGAGUGUAGAAGAGUGAGGUGGAAAGGUGAAGAGAAGGAAAGGAAGACGAGUGAAGAAAAGAGGAGAAGAAAAAG